rnacentral:tRNA from 1 species
CAGGGCAUAAUUUAAACAGAAUGCUAGCUUUGGGUGUUAGCUGUAGGGGAUUGUUUCCCCUUGCUCUGA